UGUGCUUUAACCCGGUGUGGAUUCGUAGUGAAUGUUGCCAUCCGGAUUUGGGUGUGAGAACCUUAUCGGCUCAGCUUGUCGUGAGCAGUGUUAGCCGCACAGGCGUUAUCUCGGCACCGGUAGUGGGAGACGGAACCAUCAGCCAAUCGUUGUCCACCUAGCCUAGGAUAUCGCGCUGCAAAGAGGGGAGAUAUUGUCGGCCGCCCUAUUUAAGCUAAGUCCUGUUCUGAUGCACCAAAACCACUAAACCGGUGUACCUGUCCUGUAAGCUGUGCAUUGUGGACUCUCUCUCUCUCUCUCUCUCUCUCUCUCUCUCGACAGGAGCUGUGAGCCCAAGUGGUUGCGUGGGGGCCCCAAGGUGUUUGUCUUUUGGAUUGAAGUAAUCACGUGUGGUGUGGAUUUUCGGGACCUUCUCUCCUCUGAUAACC